rnacentral:rRNA from 1 species
UGGUGGAGUGAUUUGUCUGGUUAAUUCCGUUAACGAACGAGACCUCGACCUGCUAAAUAGUUCGGCGAAGACUUCGGUCUUCGUACGUGACUUCUUAGAGGGACUAUCGGUGUGUAGCCGAUGGAAGUUCGAGGCAAUAACA